CCGGGCCUCCAGCGAGCUCCGCGCGUCCGAGAGGGAGCCAAGGGCUCCCUGGUUCAAAGGGCCGCAGCCCCGAGGGGAUGCUUCCUUGUGUGCCCCGGGGUGCAGAAGCAGACUGCAGGGCGGUGGGACCAGCCUGGGCCACGGUGAUAUUGCAACCACGGACUCCCUAGACUCACCAAGUGUUGAAGACACGGGGGCACAAUUUCUGGGAGACUCAGGCACCACCAACACCCUUACUUAGAAUAUUCUAUCGUGACUUCUGGAGGGGUUGGCCAGGUACCCAAACAUCAGGACCCCAAAGAAGGGAAAUAAAAGUGGGAUUGAAGCGCUCCAGGGGUUCCCAGUCGGGGACUGCUUCAACACACUGACUCUGUGUAAGAGGACGAUGCUUCAGGUGUGGUUUUCAGGUGACUGUCCUACGGCCACUCCAUCCUUCCUCCUCAAGGGAUCUGAGUCUCAGCAUGUCUUCGGCGCCGUUAAAUGCACCCCCAAUCCCCGCUAAGAUCUUGUAACUUUUUCUGCCUUGCCCCUAUAAAAGAGUUACACUUUAGAAAAAACUUAAAAAAAAAAAAAGACAAGAAAAGGAUAUAGGUUUGGUAACCGUUAAAUAACUUUCCCAGCGUGUAUUAAAGGAAGAUUGUAUUUUAUCAACAGCUGAUUGAUGCCCGUGUGAGCCUGUCGGUUUGUCUAUAGUAUCAUAUUUAUUUAACCUGCUGGGGGACUGUGUUCAGGGGCAGCCUGUUCACGCUGACAAGAGCGUGCACAUUACACACUACCCCAGGUAUUUUGAUUGAUUGUUCCCACCCCAAAGCCUUUGGUUCAUAAUUUAGCACAGCGGGUUCUGCAUCACAGACAAGGCUGGAAAAAAAAAAAAUAAAAAAAAUAAAAUCCUGUAAGAGAUUUCAAUGAACAACUACUGGCAACAAACCUUUCUUUAUCUGAAACCCCCAAAUAUUUUAAAUACCUUAAUAAUCACAGAACAUUCAACCCUUAUUUAACCCAUUUCCCCGAAGUGGUAACAGAGAAUUCAUUUUAAGUUUUUGGCUGGAUCAGUCAGUCUGUCUUGAACUAGGGGGGUGAAGCUGUGAGGACAUAGUGUGGGCUUUUUCCCCCCUCCUCUUUCUCUUGCAAUAGAAGGCUUGGGGUCUUGAAGGAACAAGGCAGAAGAUAAUGGCUCUUUCCAGAUGCUCCUCUUGUGUGCCUUUGGAAUGUGGUUCAUAAGGUCUUUUGCUGGAAUUGCUACCAUUAUUUAACUCCAUGAGCAAGGAAAGACUACCUUUUUUUCCCCCUUCAGGAGACAAAGUCUUCAGUGUACCUAAGAAUCAUACAAAAAUAUUUGUGUACUUAAAAAAAAAAAAAAAGAAAGUCAUCUCAGCUGUCUGGGUUUAUCCUAGCAAAAAUGGAACCUGAAGUUAGUGACACCUAGUACAGAAGCCAUUUCAUAAUUUCUUCUUGAGGGAUGUCUAAGAAGAAGGAAGCUUUUUGGUAAAAAUCAUUUUUGCGAGCACCAGCAAAAGCACACAUUUUAACUAGUAUGCAUUUAUGGAAUUGUUUUGGCUGUGAUAAAAAUAGGACAUAUAUUCCUUCUUGUAUUUCUGUUAUUCCAUCUUAGUAAUAUUUUUGUAAGAGAUGCAAAAAACUAAGUUUUAAUUGUGUGCUGUGUCCAGUGACAAAAUGAGGCUUAUUGUGCCCUGGUGGUUUUUGCAAUUGUCUUUUAGAGAGUCUUGAAGCCUGAAAGGUCAUCUUAGCAGCAUCAUAUACCUGACUAAGUCCCCUUCCCAGAGUUUAUUUCGGCAUUCUAGGUUGGACGAGGUAGUCAUUAUCAAAAUGGUCAAUUGCAUGAGGUUUCAGGGUGCAGAUAUGUAGACAUUAAAGAAAGAUGUCAAGAGCGUAAUUGCCCUCACACAAGACAAAAUAACUAAUGCCAGUCCCCUGAUUCAUUUCCUAGGUUAUUACUGGGGCAGAAAGAUUUCUUUUAAAAUCUAUGUCGUGAUAAUAGAUAGUGGUGAUAGCAAUUAUUAAAACUUACUUCUUCAUUUCUUCUUCAUUCUUGAAUAUUAUUCACAGAAGCUAUCUUUGGACUUGAUGUGUGCCUUUAAAUAAGGGUAAAGACAUUAACCAAAUUUCAUAGACUCCUCCCAUUUCUAAUUAAUAUUUCUUUUAUUAAAUGCCUCUUGUUUUUAAUGCUGCCGCUAAAGACUUUCUUCCGUCAUCUCAUAUUUGGAACAGGCUUGAAAGAAAGUGGACACUUUCUUUGCCAAUAAUAGCAUGUUCAGCGACAUUUUUUAUCUCUAGAUGUUGCUAUUUAUCCUCAGAAUGAUAUUCAAUGAAAAAAGAAAAACUCAGAACAUUUGGUAACUCCAGGAAGGGCAUCCCUCUGCUGAGAAACAGCCAUGGUCUGUUUUAAGUGCAGACACAGUAUCCAGAAAGAAAGCACAAGGGCAGACUGGCAAAUGAAGUAUUUACCUAUGCCUCCAUGGCAGCCAGGGGCACUGCAAGGCAGACCCAGUGCUGUGGAGGAAAGGGCACUGAUUUGUCAGCAGUAAACAGAUUCUAUGCCUUAUACUUACAGUUGUUAAGGAAGUAUUGAGCUAUCACAUGAAUCCAUCUGUGGUCAUUUUCAAAGCAUUUAGAAAUCAUUGGUUUAUACUGAAAAUGAAUCUUCCUUUCUGCCUUUCUUUUUUCCUUCCUUCCUUUCUUUCUCUCUUUCUCUCUGAAGCAGGGUCUCAUGUAGCCCCAGGUGGUCUCUCACAUGCUGUGUAGUUUGGUGGGUCCUGCCUCUAUCUCCUGGGAUGGCAGGCAUGUGAUACCAUGCCUGGUUUAUGUAGUGCCGGGGUUGAGCUCAGGGACUGGCAUAUACUCAGCUCUAGUAACUGAGUCACAGUCUCUGUGGGGGAACUUUUUGAAAACAAAACAAAACAAAACAAAACAUUUACUGUCAUUUUUUAAAAAAAAUAGAAUACUAUGUUAGUUACCCACAAUAGUGAAUGGAAUUAUUCUAUAUAUUUUUUUUUCUGGGAAAAUCAAACAGACCAAUGUCCCAACUAUUUUUGAGGGAAUAUUUUGAUAAGUUUAAAUACAUGUUUAAAUACAAACACAUACAAAUUAACCUCUUUGAAGUUUGGCUGACUUCUUAACUGUAUAGCACUGGGUGUGUCUAUCUGUCUCUGAGUUCCUUUAUGUAAAGAAAUAAUAAAUCAGGGUUUGUGGAAAGGGUUAUGUGAACAAACUCUUGAGAAGCUCUUACAGCAGAGUUGGGGAGGUAUAACUCCUAGCCACCCAGAAUUUAUUGUUAUAGCCCAUGCUGUACACUGAUGUUUUAAUAUCAUUAUUUAAAAUGAUGUCCCCCCCUGUCACCUAUAGUGUUGUAUGACCAGAUGCUAAAACUAAAACUAAGGUUGAUUUUGUUCUAAAAAGGCUGCUAAAACAAACAAACAAACAAAAACAACAACAAAAACAAAAACAAAACCCAAACCCAAAAAAACCAAAACCAAAACCAAAACCAAACCAAACCAAACCAAAACCAAACCCCACUGUACUGUAGUCAAAUGUUAGCAGAAGAAAAUACCCCCAAGGAGCAAAGCAAUCUUUGCCUUCCUGUGUCUAAUGCUCAAGGCACAGUAAAUAACCAGUAGCCUUAUAUGUAAAGUUCAGCCAACAAUUCAGCUCCAAAAAGUGGUGAGAAUGCCACCAAAAAAUAUUUGCGUACCAGAUCAGAGACACUUGACCUGAAACUCCUAAGGAGUCAAAUAGCUAGAUUUUCGAUUUCCAGCCCCUUUAUUUCAUAAAGAGACCAGCAUGCUGCUUCUCAUGACUGCAGUAGCUAUGUACCUAAGUCCUCCAGAGUCUUGUCUCUCUGUUACCAUUUAACGAGGUAAGGACAUCUCAGCUUUCUCAGUUAAAAGCAUUCUCUUGAAACAUGUGUUUUACAUAUGUAUUAUUAUAUUACAGAUUUCUUCCUAGGAGAAAGUGAUAUGUCCUGGUAACACGUUAGACUGUCUAUUAAAAACUAGGGCAUCAAUGUGAAAAACAAAGGUUGCAGUAACACAAAUUUUCAGGCCCUGCUUAUUUCCUGAUGUGCAUGUUGAGCUUGGGGUUAUAACAAUACCGACCUCAACUGGAAACAUUGGCAACACUACCUGACUGUGGACUCUCUGUGUUUGUGAGCUGCUCCACUGCCACUCCCAGCAGUAACUUGAGAUGAGAGCUCAAGUGCAAGCUGAGUACCCGAGAGGUGGGUGACAGAGCUCUCCCCUUU